AUGACUAUUUGCUUGGAAUCCACUGUAAAUCUAAAGAUGAUGAUCUCGGUUUCCACAUUCAUGUCAAUCUAGGAGAUUCAACAAAUUUUCUGUGGAUUUAGCCAAGGACGAGAUAAUAAAGGCGUGUUCAAAAAUUUAUAAUUCC
rnacentral:sRNA from 1 species